UACGUAGGUGGCAAGCGUUGUUCGGAAUUAUUGGGCGUAAAGGGCGCGUAGGCGGUUUGCUAAGUCAGUUGUGAAAGCCCGGGGCUCAACCCCGGAGGGUCGGCUGAUACUGGUGGACUAGAGUACGGAAGAGGUAGCUGGAAUUCCCGGUGUAGCGGUGAAAUGCGUAGAUAUUCGCAAGAACACCAGUGGCGAAGGCGGCUCACUGGCCCGAUACUGACGCUGAGGCACGAAAGCGUGGGGAGCAAACAGG
rnacentral:rRNA from 1 species